rnacentral:rRNA from 1 species
AUACGGAGGAUCCGAGCGUUGUCCGGAUUUAUUGGGUUUAAAGGGAGCGUAGGUGGAUUGUUAAGCCAGUUGUGAAAGUUUGCGGCUCAACCGUAAAAUUGCAGUUGAAACUGGCAGUCUUGAGUACAGUAGAGGUGGGCGGAAUUCGUGGUGUAGCGGUGAAAUGCUUAGAUAUCACGAAGAACUCCGAUUGCGAAGGCAGCUCACUAGACUGUUACUGACACUGAUGCUCGAAAGUGUGGGUAUCAAACAGGAUUAGAUACCCUGGUAGUCCACACAGUAAACGAUGAAUACUCGCUGUUUGCGAUAUACAGUAAGCGGCCAAGCGAAAGCAUUAAGUAUUCCACCUGGGGAGUACGCCGGCAACGGUGAAACUCAAAUGAAUUGACGGGG